GCUUCCUUAGCUCAGUCGGUAGAGCGCGAGUCUCAUAUGAUCGCCGAUGCGGCGAGAAAUCUCGAGGUCGCAAGUUCGAGCCUUGCAGGGAGCA